rnacentral:lncRNA from 1 species
GGUGACGCGUGCGCCGGCCGGCCGCCGAGGGGCUACCGUUCUGCCUCCGACCGGUCGUGUGUGGGUUUACUCGGAGAAAUACUAGGCUUUAGAAUUUCACCAUAUGAAUUUUGGGAGAGAGGAGCACAGUUCAGCCCAUAACUAACACACGACGGAAUGAAGUUGAUAAUAGUGAGACCUUGUUGGUACAAGACUAUGUAACAUAACCUGCGCUUCUCAACAAAGAAUUGCUUUUCUGACUUCUGCACUCAACUACUCAACAUGAAGGCAAUAAGAAUGAAGACCUCUAUGUAUAAUAAUUGACUUCCACUUAAUAAAUACCUGAACAGAUGUUGAGUACAAGCUGAUCCACCUACGUUCAACCUGAGAGAGUCCACAUCCACAGACUGUUUCAUUUCCCUUUUUCAAUUUACAUAGAAGCAUAGAUUCUUGCUGGCAUAUACAAAUGCGCCAUUUAAGGCAAUCAAAAAUGGUUCCACAUCUCAUCUGAUUUCCACAAUUGUUGCUGUAACGAUGGACUACUGAGGAGAGAGACAAUUUCUCUGGCACAUCUUCCCACAUUUUAGCAACAUGUUCAUGGAGAGCCAAUAUUCAGUAAUUACAGCCCAAUUCCUCACAAUUUCACAAUUCGCUAACAAUAUGCAUUUUCACAAUGUAAAGCUGAUUUUCCUUUAACCAAAUCAAACAUGAAAAGAUAGCUGCAUGCAAUGGGCAAUCUAGAUCAUUAGAAGAUUGAUGUAAAAUUAGAGGACACUGAGACUGGAAUAGAUUGCAAACUUCAGGGAGCUCAGAAAACUUGUAAACUCUACAUUUUGAGGAAAUAUGUUGUCGAUGCUUUUGCAACUCUAUGCAGUAACUUAACAAAUAAAGCCUUAAAGUAAC